rnacentral:rRNA from 1 species
CGGGGUGAGUAAUGUCUGGGAAACUGCCUGAUGGAGGGGGGUAACUACUGGAAACGGUAGCUAAUACCGCAUAACGUCGCAAGACCAAAGUGGGGGACCGUUCGGGCCUCAUGCCAUCGGAUGUGCCCAGAUGGGAUUAGCUAGUAGGUGGGGUAACGGCUCACCUAGGCGACGAUCCCUAGCUGGUCUGAGAGGAUGACCAGCCACACUGGAACUGAGACACGGUCCAG